UGUAUGCUGCUGCAUACAUUAUGUAAUAUGCCAGCUAAGAAAGUAAUACUAAGAAUAUGUUGUGUAGUAAGCUGUUAGUAGGCCAUGUGCUUCACCCUAAUAAUUUGGUUCGUUCCCCCCUCAUAUCUUAGCCUACUGUUCUAACUUGGUGGUGCACAUGUAGUCUAUAACCUGUUUUUGAGAAAUGUAAUUGAAUAUUGUAAGAGCUUUAAUUGUCUGCAUAUAUGCCCCCUUUAUCCUACGGUUCUGACUUAGUGUACAUGGAGAACACUAAGAACGGCCCAUGAUUAAAGGAUUUGAGAUAUAUAUAUAUAUCUUUAAAUACUUGUAACUUUCACCUUUUAUUUCUAAUCCUUUUUUAGCCGCACUGUUGGUUAGGGGGCUCGUAAGUAAGCGUUUCACUGUUGUAUUUGGCGCAUGUGACAAAUACAAUUUGAUGGUCUGAAUUCGGUUGCUGUACAUUUCAAAAGUGCUGAACAAAUAGUUAUAUUGACUACAUCCGUCCUAACUCACUCAUUAAUGUCUUAAUCAAAAUUACAGAAUGCCUCUUAUCCGCUUGUCUUCCCCUUAUGCCUUAGCUUGUACAUCUCAAUUGUCAGAAGAAUCCACAUUUGUUUAAGUCAGCCAGCCAUGUAAAUGAGGCUGAAUGAAGUGCUUCGCUGCCAGACAAGGAAGGCACCGCUGAUAGCCAGGUGUAGCAGUGGUAUAGUGCAAUUACUGUAUUGUUUAGUGUUGUGACAUGCAUCCCAUCCCACCCAAUUAUUUAUUUUUUGCCCCACCAAAUUUAAUAAAAUCGCCAAUCGCCAAUUUACUAAAAUGCUAAAAUCGCCACUGGAGAGGAUAGUGGAUAUGCAUUGACCUAUAUUUUGUUAUGCAAAUAAAGUUGUAAGCCAAAACACAUCCCAAACCAUUUGCAGUUGUUUUCACAUAAUAGUAAACCAAUUGCUUGCUAUAAGUCGCUCUGGAUAAGAGCGUCUGCUAAAUGACUUAAAUGUAAUGUAAAUGUAUACAAUAACCACUUGUGUAGACGUCGUUGCGACAUGGUAUGAAUUUACAAAUUCUGUACUUAGACCACCUGGACAACAAAGUUAACCAUCAAAUACAUUGUAACAUCUUCCUUCUCUUUGUCAACAUAUUGCAGUAAGACAACGUGGGAAAAUAAGUAAUGUUAGCUAUUGUAAUCAACAAAGUUAACCUUAAUGAACCCAAGCUUAAUUGCAAUAAGGUACGUGACCGGUGCAGAAGAUGACAGAUGGGCCGUCACACGACAUCGCUCAAUGCCUGACACUCACGAAAAGUAAAGGAGAAAACAAGACCAAAACAGAAAUGUGCCUAGUCUAUCAACGUUGCUACAUUUUGGUGCAAGACCUUCCUCAAGCCUUCAAAUGUUCCUGUGUCCCUCAACUGAAGACAUCAAGGGGGUCCCGGCGUACUCUGUUCGAUCCAUAUUGGAUUCGAGACGUCGGGCGAGGGGCCUUCAGUACCUCGUGGACUGGCAGGGGUACGGGCCAGAGGAGAGAUGCUGGGUUCCGGUGGAGGCCGUGUUAGAUCCUUCCAUGUUAAAAGAAUUCCAGUUCCCAUCCGGAUUGCCCUGCACCUCGCCCUUCGGGUCGUCCUCGAGGCCGGUGUCGACGCGCCCGGAGUCGUUGCCUCUCCUUGUUCGGGCGGUGCUCGGCGGUCUACGUCACCGGUCUUCUAGCCAUCAUUGAUCCAUUUUUCAUUGGUUUUGUCUUGUCUUCCUACACACCUGGUUUCAAUCCAAUUCAUUACCUGUUGUGUAUUUAACCCUCGGUUUCCCCUCAUGUCUUUGUCAGAGAUUGUUUUAUGUCAGUGUUGUUUAUGUUUGUAUAGGUGCGCGACGGGUCCUCGUACCCAUGUUUAUUAUGUAUGUACAUUUAGUGUUUGGAGCAUGUUUAGUGGACAUAUAUUAAAAGGACUCCAUCACACUCGUUUUACACUCCUGCGCCUGACUUCCCUGCCACCGAUAUACACGACUGACACAUUUACUUUUUCCAGAUUUUGUUGUGCUACAAAGUGGGAUAAAAAUGUAUUGAAUUGUCAUUUUUUUUGUCAACGAUCUACACAAACUCCUCUAUUUUAUAAAUUAAACAAAAUAUAUAAAUAUAAUAUAUAAAAUAUAUCUUCAUUAGAUAAACCACAUGAGUCAAUACAUGUUAGAUUCAACUUUGGCAGCGAUUACAGCUGUGAGUCUUUCUGGGUAAGUCUUUAAGAGCUUUCCACACCUGGAUUGUACAACAUUUUCCUAUUCUUUUCAAAAUUCUUCAAGCUCUGUCAAAUUGGCUGUUUAUCAUUGCUAGACAACCAUUUUCGGGUCUUGCUAUAGAUUUUCAAACAGAUUUAAGUCAAAACUGUAACUCGGCCACUGACUUCUUGGUCAGAAACUAAAACCGUAAACGCCCGUGUUCAGGUCUAUUCAACGCUGGUCAGACCAAUCAGACUACACACUUCAAGAUAGCUUCGAUCACGUGGACUGGGAUAUGUUCCGGAUAGCCUCAGACAACAACAUUGAUGUAUAUGCUGAUUCAGUGUGCGAGUUUAUUAGCAAGUGUAUCGGUGAUGUUGUACCCACGGUGACUAAAACCUUCCCCAACCAGAAACUGUGGAUUGAUGGCAGCAUUCGUGCAAAACUGAAAGUGCGAACCACUGCUUUUAAUAAAAAAAAAUAAUAAUAAAUCAUGGCAAAGCGACCGAAAACAUGACCGACUACAGUGUAGCUAUUCCCUCCGUGAGGGAAUCAAACAAGCUAAGCAUCAAUAUAGAUACAAAGUAAAGUCUCAAUUCAACGGCUCAGACACGAGACGUAUGUGGCAGAGUCUACAGACAAUCACGGAUUACAAAAGGAAAACCAGCCCCGUCACGGACACCGACGUCUUGCUCCCAGACAAAUUAAAUAACUUAUUUGCUUUGCUUUGAGAACAAUACAGUGCCACUGACACGGCCCACUACCAAAACCUGCAGGCUCUCACCGCGGCCAACGUGAGCAAAACAAACCCUCGCAAGGCUGCCUGCCCAGACGGCGUCCUCAGAUCAUGCGCAGACCAGCUGGCUGGUGUGUUUACCGAGAUAUUCAAUCAAUCCCUAUCCCAGUCUGCUGUUCCCACAUGCUUCAAGAGGGCCACCAUUGUUCCCUUUCCCAAGAAAGCUAAGGUAACUGAACUAAAUGACUAUCGCCCCGUAGCACUCACUUCCGUCAUCAUGAAGUGCUUUGAGAGACUAGUCAAAGAUCAUAUCAACUCCACCCUACCUGACACCUUAGACCCACUCCAAUUUGCAUACCUCCCCAAUAGGUCCACAGACCAUGCAAUCGCUAUCACACUGCCCUAACCCAUCUGGACAAGAGGAAUAUCUAUGUAAGAAUUCUGUUCAUCGAUUAAAGCUCAGCAUUUAAUACCAUAGUACCCUUCAAACUCGUCAUUCAGCUCGAGACCCCGCCCUGGUCCUGGACUUUCUGACGGGCUGCCCCCAGGUGGUGAGGGUAGGAAACAUCUCCACCCCGCUGAUCCUCAACAUUGGGGCCCCACAAGGGUGCAUUCUCAGCCCUGUUCACCCACGACUGCGUGGCCAUGCAUGCCUCCAAUUCAAUCAUCAAGUUUGCAGACAACACUACAGUGGUAGGCUUGAAUACCAACAACGACGAGACAGCCUACAGGGAGGAGGUGAGGGUCCUCGGAGUGUGGUGUCAGGAAAAUAACCUCACACUCAAUGUCAACAAAACAAAGGAGAUGAUCGUGGACUUCAGGAAACAGCAGAGGGAGCAGCCCCCUAUCCACAUCGACGGGACAGUAGUGGAGAAGGUGGAAAGUUAAGUUCCUCGACGUACACAUCACGGACAAACUGAAAUGGUCCACCCACACAGACAGCGUGAUGAAGAAGGCGCAGCAGCUCCUCUUCAACCUCAGGAGCCCGAAGAAAUGCGGCUUAUCACCGAAAACACACAAACUUUUACAGAUGCACAAUCGAGAGCAUCCUGUCGGGGUGAAUCACGCCUGGUACGGCAACUGCUCCACCCACGACCGUAAGGCUCUCCAGAGGGUAGUGAGGUCUGCACAACGCAUCACCGGGAGCGAACUACCUGCCCUCCAGGACACCUACACCACCCGAGCCACCGCCUGUUCACCCCACUAUCAUCCAGAAGGCGAGGUCAGUACAGGUGCAUCAAAGCGGGGACAGAAAGACUGAAAAACAGCUUCUAUCUCAAGGCCAUCAGGCCAUCAGACUGUUAAACAGCCACCACUAACAUUGAGUGGCUACUGCCAACAUACUGACUUAACUCUCUCGCCACUUCAAUAAUAAAAAAAAUGGGACUAGUCACUUUAAACAAUGCCACUUUAUAUAAUGUUUACUUACCCUACAUUACUCAUCUCAUAUGUAUAUACUCUAUUCUAUACCAUCUACUCUUCUUGCAUAUGCGGCACGACCAUCACUCAUCCAUAUAUUUAUAUGUACAUAUUCUUAUUCAUUCCUUUACACUUGUGUGUAUUAGGUAGUUGUUGUGAAAUUGUUAUUUUGUUAUAUUACUUGUUAGAUAUUACUGCAUUAUUAUUACUACUACACUCGCAUUAACAUCUGCUAACCAUGUGUAUUUGACCAAUAAAAUUUGAUUUGAUUUGACGUUA